CCCUGGCCUUCACCUCUUCGUCUAGCUUUCUCCGAGAGCCGUAGAGAUUUCUCUUCCCACUCUUCUAGUGCUAAUCUUUCCUUCUUCUCAGCCUUCCUGUUCUCCUCUUCUUCGUCGUGUUCCGAAGACCACCGACCUGUAGCCAUGGCUAACUGGGUGGGGGUCAUCGGCGAAAAAGGAGGAGAAGAAGAGACGAACGAUCUUUCCAUCGAAUCUAACCAAGAAUCGCUUUGAGUCUUCGAACCAACCCUAGGUCUCCGGCUGGUUUUUCUUUCUGAUGGCUGGUCUUCUUCUUCGUGGGGUUUCUUCCUGUUACGGUGGUUACCGUAAGUGCCACGGAUCGACGGUUACCGCGAAUGCUCGGAUCAGCAUGGUGUUGCGGGCUACUUCAAGUUGCCGAGUCACCACCACGGCCACUAAUCGUUAUGCAGAACUGAGGCGCCCACGCAGUCCAUUUAGCAUAUGAGCUGCCCCUAUUGCCUCAGUCGACUUAUUUCUUCGAUGUGUGUGAUAGCUGUCCACUCUGAGUGGAUCAACUAAGGCAUAACGAGCUCCUCCAAGCUCGCGGGAGUGAUUGAAGGCUGAAUUAUUUCGCCCACAAUAGUAUGUCCAACACCUUGCAAUAUUGGGAUUGCACGUUCUCACGGCCAUGCAACCAGUUGUUCGACAGCCUUCUAUAUAAACCAUCGGAGUCCCGAGGAUCAAGUUGCUCCAGCGCUGCAAUCCUGCGCGGGGCUCAGUCGCCCUCUUUCCAACCUCGACUGAUUUCAAGCAGCAACACUUCCAAACGGUCAGACCACAAAGGAAAAUUCUGCAUUGCCAUACCCAGCUGCAAUGUGCUGUGGGAGCCUGCAUACAAAUUUCUCCAGAGCCGGUCAAGUCACAUCCGCUUGAUUAUAUUCGCAACCUCAUUGGUACAACCCUUCAAUUGUUUAUGCUGCUGCUUUAUAUGCUUUUAUUUUUUACAAUCUUUCACUUGUCUCUACAGAGGUAGCGGUAAUUUGCUUGCAUACUUUUAUGCUUGUCACUUGGACUGCUUAUUUUUCACAAUGUUUUACUUGUCUCUACAGAGGUAGUGGUAAUUUGCUUGUAUGCUUUUAUGAUUGACGCUUGGACUGUACUCCUGUUGCUGUCAACUGGCGCAUCAAGGGCUUACUGUAUAAAUUUCUACACUUCUUGUUUGCAUCUUGUGUGUGAGGGGAUUAUUUGAGUAGUUAUUUGCCACAUUAUUUGAGUAGUUAUUUGCCACAUGUUCUUCAUGGCCAUUUUAAACAAAUAUGAGGACUAUUUUAUUAUUUUAAAUUCAAGAAUUGCUAAUCCCUAUUGUUAGGGGAGAAUUUCGCCUGGACGAUAAUGUGAAGAGGCCCAAGGCUCAAAAAGUCUAGGCCCAGCAAAUUAAGGUCCCUCAUCGUCGCUGACCCCUCAUCGACUACUCUUGCGACAGAUUGACCCUCGGCUCCCGAACAACCGGUCGAUGCCCCGUUGCCCGAGCAGGCGGAGACUCCAUCGAUUGGCUUCUGGUGAGCCCUCCGCUCGGCAACCGAUUGCCCCAGGCUGACUAGGUGGUAGCACUCAAUAGAUUCAUUCAGCCGACUUAUGGAUUCUCUCUCCGAUCUUGACUUUAGGUUUUCAUCCUCUACUAAUCACUGUUUCUGCUCGUAAGCCAGGAUUCUAAGGCACGGGUGUCUGCCAAGUGACUGAACGCCAAGCGUGGCCACCACGCAAUCCCGUCGGGUCACGUCACCUCGAAGCCAUAUCCUAAACGGCCAGCUGUGCAUCAUGAUAAGAAGCUACGCUAAAUCAAGUCAUUCUGGAGUCAUUAAUCACAUUACACGUAUGGUAAGGCCCACCGCCGUGGCCCCUGACAAAAUGCGAUAGAUUGAGGCGGCCGGGAGGGUCAGGAAUGGCCCCCCUCUACCUCUCAUUUAUGGCUCUUUCCUCGGAGGUCAAUCGAAAAGCGGUCGAUCCAUGGUCGGCUGACCCUCCUUCGGAUGUCCUCUUAAUCUCAUCGAAGCCCCCGUGGGUCUACUGACAACUGUCAAGCGACAGUUGGCCAUGGCACCUGAGGCGAUGACGAUAGACCGUCCUUCAGAAGCUCCUGCUUUCGCCUAUAAGAGGAGGCUUAAAGGGGACUCCAAAAAAGAUACGCAAAAACUUUGCCUCUCACACUUCUCUUUCUGUUGGACUAGAUUUCUGACUUGGGCGUCGGAGGGCUCCCGCCGGAGCAAACCCCGAUCGGAACUUUUCUUGCAGGUCUUGCCACCGGCAGCCCGACUCACCACCAACUCCAGCCGCUCCGACGUCGGUCAGAAAUCGGCACCAACACCUAUAUUUUUGUGAAAUUGUUUAUGAAAUAUUUGGGAAAAUAUGGAAGUAAUUGUAAAAAAAAUAUAUAUAUAUUCAUCAUAAUUUGGAAGGCCCGUUGUUCUGCAUGUUGCUAUUAUAAGUUGUGGUAAAUGGGGUUGGGCAAGCCUUUCCUGCUACUCAACUCUACAUGCCAUUUUUCUUUCUGACUUUUCUUGCUUUCCUUGUUUGUCAAAUAUUGUUCUUUAUUAUUUUAGCAGCAGCUUAUGAGUUUACAUGUAUCAAGGUUGUUUCCUACGCCAACUUCUAGAAGCAUCUUGCCUGCUAUAAUUGUGAUGGUAGUCUUGUGAAAGUUUGCCUCCUGCACUGAAACCGUAAUUCACUUACUAUUAUAUAUGCAUUUUUUUGGUGGUGAGGGUGGAAGGUGUUAUUGUGUAUCAUUCUUGUUUUUAUUUUUAUUCUUUUAUGAUCUGUGAUACUCAAUCAGCCUUUGCUAUCAUUCUUUCACUCAGAUUGUUGUGGUGAUAACAAUAAUUUUUGUGAGGGCUCAUAGUUGCGCAGUGUGCAUAUGAUACUCUGCAGUAAAACCAAAAUAAUUCAUAGGAUUUGGAGGCUACCAAAAGAUGGGUGGUAGGGUUCAGAUCUGCUCCCUUCCAAAGAAACUAUUUUAUUUAUUCUUUUCACUGACCUCAAAGGAAAAUUCUGCAUUACCAUACCAUGCUGCCACUGUAACUGGAGCUGGUUUCUCGACCACUACUCUUCUGUCAUGCCUUGCUUGAGGGUUGAUGGGGGCACCAUGAGAGAGAUAGUCACCUUUUCUACGCCGGAUUGUGGGAUCCUAUGCACAAAUUUCUACAGAGCUGGUCCAGUACAACCAUCCAUGAAUAAAUCGGGGCAACUAUUGCAGCCUAGUGGAGACCCUACAUGAUAUCUAUUAAAUGCUUGACAACUUGCGACUUCAUAUUUCAAGGUCAUUUCCUCCAGCAACUUCUGGAUUUUUCUUUCCACUGGUGAUCAUAGCAAUGAUGGAUGAUCACAACAAUCUAGUGCGAGAGCAGUCUAAAAGAUCAAGAUAUAUAAAAUCUCAUAAAGCUGGCAGACAAUUGUCAUUCUGUCUUCAAAUUCAGUCAUCGAUAUGAUCUGCAACAAAGGUCGUCAUUCAAUCUGCUGCGGUAUUUGCCUUUUGAUAAAUAUGCUGAACAUUGAUCGUAGCAUGAAGCUGCUGACUGACAAAGAUGACGUCGGUUCAGACAGCAUGAAACUCCGCACUUGAGACAGAAGGCUCAGCCAAGUGGAAUGCUAGCAUUUGUUGACUGAAUUAUUUAAUGGUUCUACCUGUAACUUUUUACUCCUGUGCCCAGCAAUGCCGGCAUUUAUUAGCUGGAUUAUACCGGCUCUACCCCUAAUUAAACAAAUUUACAUUAAUGUCAAUGCUAUGAUAUUAUUUGUACAA